rnacentral:rRNA from 1 species
UACGUAGGGUGCAAGCAUUGUCCGGAUUUAUUGGGCGUAAAGAGCUCGUAGGCGGCUUGUCACGUCGGAUGUGAAAGCCCGGGGCUUAACCCCGGGUCUGCAUUCGGUACGGGCAUGCUGGAGUUCGGUAGGGGAGACUGGAAUUCCUGGUGUAGCGGUGAAAUGCGCAGAUAUCAGGAGGAACACCGGUGGCGAAGGCGGGUCUCUGGGCCGAUACUGACGCUGAGGAGCGAAAGCGUGGGGAGCGAACAGG